GACGAACGCUGGCGGCGUGCCUAAUACAUGCAAGUCGAACGAACCGCGACUAGGUGCUUGCACUUGGUCAAGGUGAGUGGCGAACGGGUGAGUAACACGUGGGUAACCUACCUCAUAGUGGGGGAUAACAGUCGGAAACGACUGCUAAUACCGCAUAGGACAUAGGAUCACAUGAUCCAGUGAGGAAAGGUGGCGCAAGCUAUCGCUAAGAGAUGGACCCGCGGUGCAUUAGCUAGUUGGUAGGGUAAAGGCCUACCAAGGCGAUGAUGCAUAGCCGACCUGAGAGGGUGAUCGGCCACAUUGGGACUGAGACACGGCCCAAACUCCUACGGGAGGCAGCAGUGGGGAAUCUUCCGCAAUGGACGCAAGUCUGACGGAGCAACGCCGCGUGAGUGAAGAAGGUCUUCGGAUCGUAAAGCUCUGUUGUUAGAGAAGAACAGCGCAUAGAGUAACUGUUAUGCGUGUGACGGUAGCUAACCAGAAAGCCACGGCUAACUACGUG
rnacentral:rRNA from 1 species